rnacentral:rRNA from 17 species
GUUGACCUCAGAUCAGGUAGGAAUACCCGCUGAACUUAA